UAUUAAAUAGAUGACAGGCACUACCAUUAAAAGAAAGUAGUUGGUGGCCAUAUUUAAAAAAAAAUUAAUUAAUAAAUAUUAAAGGAAAGCGAAUUUUCACACACAACAUAAACGGAUCCACUAUUUGGAGUCAUUCUGGUUAUAAAAUCGAAAGAGAUAUCAAGAAAGAAGAAGUAAAAGAGAAUUAUGACGUAAAACACAGUAUAAAAUCAGAGUGUAAAGUUGAUUUGAAAAAAGUGAAGAUUGAAGUAAAGACUGAAGA